UGUUAUCUGAUAGGCUGUCUUCCACAUUUAUUCUCGUCCUUUAAGACUGCUUGCUCUUCUUAGCACUGUGCAUUUCUGUAUAAAUUUUAGAAUCCACUGUCCAUUAAGUCAGGCCCCUUACCCCCCAGAGAAGCAUGCUGAGGUUUUGAUUAUAAUUUUUAGGUAGAUAUUUGGUGGUUGUUUUGAUCAAAUUGAGGGCUUUCCCCUACUGUUUCUGGUCUGCAAAGAUUGUUUUUUUUUUACUUAAGAAUACUGUUGAACUUUGUCCAGAGUAAACAUUUUUGCAUCUUUGGGAUUUCCAUUAAACCACUAUUAUGAUUAUCUCACAGUGUUGAUUUUAUUGUACUUCUUUCCUGGAAACACUAAAAUGAACCAAAAGUACAAGAGGAUUGUGAAUAAAAUUCCAUUUACAAUAAUACUAGGAAAUAAAUCAGCACAAACUCAUAUGAAGGAGAUGUGUGAGUUUACACAUAUCUUCCCAGAUAUCAUACAUUAUGCAUAUUUCAUUUUAGGAAAAAGAGGAAGGAAGGAAGGAAGGCUGGAGGAAGGGAGAAAGGAAGGAAGGCAGAAAGGAAGGAAGGCAGGAAGGCAGGAAGGCAGGCAGGAAGGAAGGCAGGAAGGAAGGCAGGCAGGAAGGCAGACAGGAAGGAAGGCAGGAAGGCAGGCAGGAAGGCAGACAGGAAGGAAGGCAGGAAAGAAGGAAGGAAGGAAGGUAGACAGGUUCCUGAGCCAGAAUCCUCAACUGAAACACUGAAUUCUGAAGACAUGAAGGGACACAGGAGAGGUGAAGCUCUAUGAAGGACAAGCUCCAAUAGGAAAAAAUAAUGUCAGGGGCUGGGGGUGGGUAGCAUAAGAACUACAUUUUCAGCUACCAGCUGCCUUCACUUUUUUUCAUUCUUGGAAUUGCUCCCCUCCCCAAUCUGUUACCAAGCAAAAGUCAGGCCAAGAAAAGGUUGCCAUAAUUCAAAAAUAAGUAAUAAACUGGAAUGUUUAAAGAUAGUGGGUUGACAUUGUCCAUAAACAGUAAGAAACAAAGAAAUCAGAAAGAGAAUAAAGGAACACAAAAAUAAUACACAAAAGGCAGAGAAAGUAUAACCACAGAAAAAUAAAAUUACCCCCAGGUGAUGUAAGAGAAAGUUAACCAUUUUUUUAUAACUUGAAUAAGUUUAAAAUUAUGAACAAAAAUGAAAUCAAAGAAGAAAUCAUAGGACAGAGGAGGCAUGAAAGGAGUAACAAUGAGCUGGCAAAGAUUAUUCAAAAAAAAAGAAAAAAAAACUAUUGCUGAAAUGAAACCAUGUUAGAAGCAUCAAGCAGACAGUGCAGAAAUAAACGGGACUGGUAUGAAGAAAUAAAGCAGAAGAGAGAAAAAAGGCAAUAGAUGUGGAAGAGAGAUAACUAGGAGCUAAUGUAUGGGUUGUUAUUUUUACAAUAGUUCUCACCUGGGAAAGUAAUGUUCUUACCAGAGGAAUAUAUCAAUCUGGCUUUUUAAUUCUAUUCUGCAAUUUUCAGUGUCAGAGGUAACUGAAUGAUUUCUUCAGAAUUGUGAGUGAGGAAAAGUGUGAUCCCAAAGUUGUAUAACCUUCUAAGUAGUGCACGAUUCCAGGGACACCUUCACAGAGAAUGAUGGUGCAUUGUGCUUCUGGAGGUACCACGAACAUUCCAUUCUAGGUGAAAAAUGCCUCUGAGGGUUACAUAAUGGGGACAUUUGCCUGCCUUGCAGGUAAUGGAAAAUCCUCUUAAACAUGCAUUAACAGGAAAAACAGGCACCCAUGAACUUUCUUGCAAAAUUGCUUUAAAGACAACAUAAUGUCAAUCAAUACCUAAGUAAAGGUGAAUAAAGCAUCUAGGUCUAGACAAGCAAUCGUAUAAAAAGUGUUAAAUGUGUCCCUAUAAGAGACUACCUGAGCAGGCUUAGUGUGAGCAACAAGGCUGUUUAUUCACUUGGGUGAAAGUGGGCUGAAUCUGAGAAACGUGUCAGCAAAGGGUGGUGGGAUUAUCAUUAGUUUAUAGGUUUGGGAUAGGCAGUGGAGUUAGGAGCAGUUUUUUUGCGGGCAGGGAGUGGAUGUUACAAAGUACAUUCUCAAGGGAGGGAGGAUGUAUCAUACAAAGUACAUUCACAAGGGCUGGGAGGGUGUAUUGUCACAAGGGCAGGGUACAUUCACAAGCGUGGGGAGGAUGUAUUGUACAAAGUACAUUCACAAGGGCGGGGGAAUAUCACAAAGUACAUUAUCACAAGGGCAGGGGGAUGUCACGAUAGCUUGACCAUGGUGCGGCCAGCUCAGAGGACCUUAAAAAAAGGAGAAUGGAUUUGAUGCUGGGAGUGUAUGGAAUAAGGACUAGCCUGUACUUUAUCAAAGAACAUGACCAGCACCUUGGUGUGGAUAUGGUUAUGCUUGGAAGGAGAGCAAAGGGACCAACCUAUGCCACUAGAAUAUUCCAGCUCAGGGGUUCAGCAGAUGUCACAAAGACCUGGGGCGUUUUAGAUUCACUCCUACUCUGACCUGUCCUUCUUUGCCCUAAGCUUGCCAAGUUAUUUUAGAAGAUGAUCUGACUGCCAAAUAAAGAAGAUGCAUUGAA